UUACGGCCAUAUCACGUUGCGACACCUGUUUCCGUGCGAUCAUCAAAAUUAAGCAACGUUGAGCCUGGUCAAUAGCUAGAUGGGUGACCGCUUGGGAAUACCAGGUGCUGUAAG